AUUCAGACUCCCUAGGUCUGGGGAUCUAGGGAUCCGGUCCUGAAAUAACUGAAAUGAGUAGGUUUAAGGAUUGCUGGUUUCCGUUUCAGUCUUUGUCAACUAAAUCAUGAGUCUUUGGACGGCAGGUACUCCUGUGUGUCUUCUGCCCGGGUGCCUGGAGUGGGUGGUGUAAUAACUGAAUAGCGCUGAUGCUGCGCACACAGCGGGCCUGCCUCACUGCUUUUCUGGAAGCGUUUGUGCGCAGCCAGGCAGGCGUUCUGAAGACUGUCCUUGCGCUGCUGCUGUAGGACCACGAGUUUUCUGCAGCUUGAUGCUGGUGUCUCCCAGGAUCAGCCACAUGAUGUAAAGAAACAGAAGAGAAGAAUCAGAGGCAGAAGGACAGAUAUCUGUCGUGUGUUCAUCUCAGCAACUCACACCUCACUUCUGAGGCUAAACUCGGGCUUUCUGGCACGUGACCUAACCUGAUACCAUGCUCCUUGGUGAGUUUUCUCCUCCUGUUUACGGAGGAGCUGAGCUUCUGCAGAAGGGAAAUCAGAAUCUCGCCUGCAUUUUAUUAGUAUUGUGACCAUUUGCAAAUUAAUU
ensembl:lncRNA